rnacentral:rRNA from 1 species
CAGUCGCCGCGGUAAUGCGUAGGUGGCAAGCGUUGUCCGGAAUUAUUGGGCGUAAAGGGCUCGCAGGCGGUUUCUUAAGUCUGAUGUGAAAGCCCCCGGCUCAACCGGGGAGGGUCAUUGGAAACUGGGAGACUUGAGUGCAGAAGAGGAGAGUGGAAUUCCACGUGUAGCGGUGAGAUGCGUAGAGAUGUGGAGGAACACCAGUGGCGAAGGCGACUCUCUGGUCCGUAACUGACGCUGAGGAGCGAAAGCGUGGGGAGCGAACAGGAUUAGAUACCCGCGUAGUCCCUGUCUCUUAUAC